rnacentral:rRNA from 1 species
UACGUAGGGCGCAAGCGUUGUCCGGAAUUAUUGGGCGUAAAGAGCUCGUAGGCGGUUUGUCGCGUCGGCCGUGAAAACCCGAGGCUUAACCUCGUGGCUUGCGGUGGAUACGGGCAGACUAGAGGUAGGUAGGGGAGAAUGGAAUUCCCGGUGUAGCGGUGAAAUGCGCAGAUAUCGGGAGGAACACCGGUGGCGAAGGCGGUUCUCUGGGCCUUACCUGACGCUGAGGAGCGAAAGCGUGGGGAGCGAACAGG